AACCUACCCCAAAAUACUGUCAACCUGUUGUGGUGACAUCAAGUGAUGAUGCUGUGGAAGAUAAUGCUACUAUGGUUUGUAACUAUACAUCAGAUACAAUGUCAUCUAAGAGAAGUGGUAGACAAGGAGACUUGAAACAUUAUGAAGAAAUACCAGGAGUAUCAGAUCAAAAUAUUUAUAAAAACAAUGAUACAUCUACAUCAAAAGAUUCCAGUGAAGAGACACCAGUGAAACAUGUUUAAUUAUGUUAUUGAAAUAACAUAACUAUUAUAAUAUAUUACAAUAUAUUAUAAUAUAUGAUA
rnacentral:lncRNA from 1 species